rnacentral:rRNA from 1 species
GACGAACGCUGGCGGCGUGCUUAACACAUGCAAGUCGAACGCUGAAGCUUGGUGCUUGCACUGGGUGGAUGAGUGGCGAACGGGUGAGUAAUACGUGAGUAACCUGCCCUUGACUCUGGGAUAAGCCUGGGAAACUGGGUCUAAUACUGGAUACGACAUGUCACCGCAUGGUGGUGUGUGGAAAGGGUUUUACUGGUUUUGGAUGGGCUCACGGCCUAUCAGCUUGUUGGUGGGGUAAUGGCUCACCAAGGCGACGACGGGUAGCCGGCCUGAGAGGGUGACCGGCCACACUGGGACUGAGACACGGCCCAGACUCCUACGGGAGGCAGCAGUGGGGAAUAUUGCACAAUGAGCGAAAGCCUGAUGCAGCGACGCCGCGUGAGGGAUGACGGCCUUCGGGUUGUAAACCUCUUUCAGCACGGAAGAAGCGAAAGUGACGGUACGUGCAGAAGAAGCGCCGGCUAACUACGUG